rnacentral:rRNA from 1 species
UACGGGGGGAGCAAGCGUUGUUCGGAUUUACUGGGCGUAAAGGGCGCGUAGGCGGCCUACUAAGUCGGACGUGAAAUCCCUCGGCUCAACCGGGGAACUGCGUCCGAUACUGGUGGGCUUGAAUCCGGGAGAGGGAUGUGGAAUUCCAGGUGUAGCGGUGAAAUGCGUAGAUAUCUGGAGGAACACCGGUGGCGAAGGCGGCAUCCUGGACCGGGUAUUGACGCUGAUGCGCGAAAGCGUGGGGAGCAAACAGG